GUGCUCGCUUCGUCAGCACAUAUACUAAAAUUAGAAGGAUACAGAGAAGAUUAGCAUGGUCCCUGUGCAAGGAUGACAUGAAACUGGAUAAUAAGGCCCCUCUACCA